AAUUUCUUCGCUUUUGUAAGAUUUUUUUUUCUUAUAUACAUCAAAAAGUUUUUCAUUGUAGUAUAUGAAAAUCCUCGCAAAAGUAUCAAUAAGCGUAUUUAAUGAAUGAGGUUCGAUUUCUUCAUUUUCUGGAUAUCGGCGUUUGAAGAAACAUCGAAUUUUUCAAAUUUGAGUUCUGUAGCUGAUUUUGUUUAUGGUAAAACGUUACUUCUCUAUUCAUCGUACCUGCAAUCAUUUUACACCUUGUGACGAUUUUUUUUUCUUUUUUUUUUUUGCACCAA